AGCGAACGCUGGCGGCAGGCUUAACACAUGCAAGUCGAGCGGGCCCUUCGGGGUCAGCGGCAGACGGGUGAGUAACACGUGGGAACGUACCCUUUGGUUCGGAAUAACGCUGGGAAACUAGCGCUAAUACCGGAUACGCCCUUUUGGGGAAAGGCUUGCUGCCGAAGGAUCGGCCCGCGUCUGAUUAGCUAGUUGGUGGGGUAAUGGCCUACCAAGGCGACGAUCAGUAGCUGGUCUGAGAGGAUGAUCAGCCACACUGGGACUGAGACACGGCCCAGACUCCUACGGGAGGCAGCAGUGGGGAAUAUUGGACAAUGGGCGCAAGCCUGAUCCAGCCAUGCCGCGUGAGUGAUGAAGGCCUUAGGGUUGUAAAGCUCUUUUGUCCGGGACGAUAAUGACGGUACCGGAAGAAUAAGCCCCGGCUAACCUCGUG
rnacentral:rRNA from 1 species